GUCCACGCUGUAAACGAUGUGCGCUAGACGUUGGUGGACCUAGUUCGCCAGUGUCGCAGCUAACGCAUUAAGCGCACCGCCUGGGAGUACGGCCGCAAGGUUAAACUCAAAGGAAUUGACGGGGGCCCGCACAAGCGGUGGAGCAUGUGGUUUAAUUCGAUGCAACGCGAAAACCUUACCUACCCUUGACAUCCUCGGAACUUUCCAGAGAUGGAUUGGUGCCUUCGGGAACCGAGAGACAGGUGCUGCAUGGCUGUCGU
rnacentral:rRNA from 1 species